rnacentral:rRNA from 1 species
AACGUAGGAGACAAACGUUAUCCGGAGUUACUGGGCGUAAAGGGCGUGUAGGUGGUAGUGUAAGUCUGGCGUGAAAUUUUUCGGCUUAACCGGGAAAGGUCGUCGGAUACUGCACAACUAGAGGACGGUAGAGGCGUGUGGAAUUUCGGGUGUAGUGGUGAAAUGCGUAGAGAUCCGGAGGAACACCAGUGGCGAAGGCGACACGCUGGGCCGUACCUGACACUGAUGCGCGACAGCAUGGGGAGCAAACAGG